rnacentral:rRNA from 1 species
CACCGGCGGCUCGAGUGGUGGCCACUUUUAUUGGGUCUAAAGCGUCCGUAGCCGGCUUGGCCAGUCCCCUGGGAAAUCUGGCGGCUUAACCGUCAGGCGUCCAGAGGAUACUGCCAGGCUUGGGACCGGGAGAGGUGAGAGGUACCUCAGGGGUAGGGGUGAAAUCUUGUGAUCCCUGAGGGACCACCAGUGGCGAAGGCGUCUCACUAGAACGGGUCCGACGGUCAGGGACGAAAGCUGGGGGCACGAACCGG